UACAAGCCGGUCCGAUGCAGCCCAAUUGGAUUCUACGAUGCUCUCAGUCUAAUCGAUUCCAUUCAAGUCUUUUUCGCUCUACCCUAACUCUUGGCGCCUUAGGGUUGCUGUGAUGGCUUCCGGCAGAGACGACGCGGAUCGUCCCGCUGAAUCCCAAACUUCAUCUAAGAACCCUUACAAGGACCCUGACGAUGGUCGCCAACGAUUUCUUCUCGAGCUGGAGUUCGUUCAAUGUCUCUCCAACCCGACUUACAUCCACUAUCUUGCUCAAAAUCGCUAUUUUGAGGAUGAGGCCUUCAUCGGAUACUUAAAAUAUCUAAAAUAUUGGCAAAGGCCUGAGUACAUAAAGUUCAUAAUGUAUCCUCAUUGCCUCUUCUUUCUUGAGCUUCUCCAAAAUGCUAACUUUCGGAAUGCAAUGGCACAUCCUGGUAGCAAGGAGUUGGCUCAUCGGCAACAGUACUAUUUCUGGAAGAACUACAGGAACAACAGAUUGAAGCACAUUCUACCGCGUUCUCUUCCUGAACCUCCUUCAGUUCCAGCUUCAGCUCCAGCUCCAGCUCCUCUUCCGGCUGGAGCGCCGAUUCCAAAUGCAGCUCCACCUCCACUUCCAUCAAUGCCACCUAUGACUUCUGCUGCCUCAGCACUCUCUCCACUGCAGUUUGUGGGACAACCUGGAUCUGCCAUCCCAAAGAGUGACAUCAGAAAUACCAUGGGAGAUCGUAGGAAGAGAAAGUGAUAUGGCUUUAGAGUCAUAAUGUUGGUCCAGUAAAACAUGCAUCCAAGAGGAAAGAAGAUUGAAAGGGCCAAAUCAUUCCUAGAAGAAAAUGAUCAGGGCCUAUGUCCUGAUAUGGAGCAUAGCUUACAUAACAAUAUUUCAUGGUAUUGAUGGCUUCGAAGAAACUACAAAGCACUCUCUAGGAUGCGUUGCUGCUUCAGUUUUCUUUACUGAUGAAGUCUGUGGCUUGUGGGUUUUGCACUCUCAAACUUCCACCCAGAAGGUUCUCAUGGCAUACUGACAUGGAUGUUCGUAUUGAAGCUUAGAUCUUAUUCAUUAUUUCAAGUUAAGAGUUGUCAAUCCUCAAGAGGGUAGAUGUAGCGUUAGCCAAAUUGGUAUCCAAUUCUCAAGGUGUCGUGGUUGUUGAGAUAAACACUUUGCUUGAAAUGAUUUCUCAACCCUGUUGAUA